rnacentral:rRNA from 1 species
AUUGAACGCUGGCGGCAGGCCUAACACAUGCAAGUCGAGCGAGCGGCGGACGGGUGAGUAAUGUAUGGGGACUGCCCGAUAGAGGGGGCUAACUACUGGAAACGGUGGCUAAUACCGCAUACUAUCCGAUAACCCAUAUGGGAUUAGCUAGUGGGUGGGGUAAAGGCUCACCUAGGCGACGCUCGCUAGCUGGUCUGAGAGGAUGAUCAGCCACACUGGGACUGAGACACGGCCCAGACUCCUACGGAGGCAGCAGUGGGGAAUAUUGGACAAUGGGCGCAAGCCUGAUGCAGCAAUGCCGCGUGUAUGAAGAAGGUUUUAGGGUUGUAAAGUACUUUCAGUGGGGAGGCGUUACCCGCAGAAGAAGCAACGGCUAACUCCGUGCCAGCAGCCGCGGUAAUUC